rnacentral:tRNA from 1 species
GCCCCCGUAGCUCAGUGGAUAGAGCACUUGGUUGCGGACCAAGGGGUCAGGUGUUCGAGUCACCUCGGGGGCGCCA